UCAGGCCUGCACAGCAGAGUGGUGCUUUCUCAGGAAGGAAGUAGGUCAGGCUGUUUCUGAAGACAAGUCUUAAUCAAUCAGCUGAGUGUAAGGUGGGGUUUUCACUCUUCCCAAGCUGCAUGAACUCCAGCCACCCCUAGGAGGAGACAACAUAUCACACAUCUCAAACAAACAGGCAGCAAGUAAACAAUUUGCCAAAAAAGAACUUCAGAGUUGGUCUGUGGCUUGGAUGAUGCAAUCAAAUCUCAGAUCCUUUCCUCUCGAGUGACCCCUGACCUGAAUUUGGAUUCAUGUAAACACACAGACACAUAUGAGAUGUCUGGGCUAUUCUGGGUUCCCUGGGAUUGGCUGACCUCUGUGCAUCAGCUAACUUGACCUCAAUGUCUCUACCAGCAAAGUCAGUAAAGAAGUCAACCCUGUUCUCUCUGGUCCUUAUGGUAGAGGCCUUCAAAGAAUCAAAACUGACAUUUCUGCAGACAUGUAGCAAAAAUUCUCUCCAGCUACCACCCAGUUUUUCUUUUUUGCUUCCUUACAUUACAAUCUAAUACAACAGACACAUGGUCCAGCUUGCAAAUGGUCUGCCUGAAACCUGAACCUAUCUAAUGGAGCAUAAACCUGCCAGAUACUUGCAUGAUCAGAGUGCAGAGAAACAAACAGGGUCGCCAGAAGUUUAAUGAAGAAUUUCAAAACAGACACAGAAGACACACACACACACACACACACACACACACACACACACCCUCUUGUCUCACUCCUGUCCUGCAAUUAUAAAAACAGAAGGAAAACCAGAUAUGCAUAGAUCUAAAGAGGAAUAUUAAAUAAGCAUUUCUAAGCUUUU